AGCUGUUGAUGUGGACAAUCCUGAAGAUCUUUAAACCUCUCCCAUGCAUGAUAUAAGUUCUCAUCUGGCUUCUUUUUUAAGCACAAAAUCUCACUAUGCAAUCU
rfam:Capsicum annuum cultivar Zunla-1 chromosome 11, whole genome shotgun sequence